rnacentral:rRNA from 1 species
GGAGACGCUGGCGGCGUGGAUUAGGCAUGCAAGUCGGACGGUAGGGCUUUAUCGUAAGAUAGAGUUUGAGAGUGGCGAACGGGUGAGUAACACGUAGGAAUCUACCCUUAAGACGGGGACAACCCAGGGAAACUUGGGCUAAUACCGGAUGAGAGUGCGAGAGAUUGCAUUUAAAAGGAUGGCGAAAGUUGUCGCUUAGGGAUGAGCCUGCGGUCUAUUAGUUAGUUGGUGAGGUAAGAGCUCACCAAGGCGAUGAUAGAUAGGCGGCCUUAACGGGUGGUCGCCCACACUGGGAUUGAGAUACGGCCCAGACUCCUACGGGAGGCAGCAGUGAGGAAUAUUGGACAAUGGAUGAAAAUCUGAUUCAGCCAUGCCGCGUGCAGGAAGGCGGCCCUAUGGGUUGUAAACUGCUUUUGUACGGGAGCAAUAAGGUCUACGAGUAGAUUGAUGAGAGUACUGUACGAAUAAGCAUCGGCUAACUCCGUG